AACGAACGCUGGCGGCAGGCCUAACACAUGCAAGUCGAGCGCCCCGCAAGGGGAGCGGCGGACGGGUGAGUAACGCGUGGGAAUAUGCCCUUUGCUACGGAAUAGUCUCGGGAAACUGGGGGUAAUACCGUAUACGCCCUUUGGGGGAAAGAUUUAUCGGCGAAGGAUUAGCCCGCGUUGGAUUAGGUAGUUGGUGGGGUAAUGGCCUACCAAGCCGACGAUCCAUAGCUGGUUUGAGAGGAUGAUCAGCCACACUGGGACUGAGACACGGCCCAGACUCCUACGGGAGGCAGCAGUGGGGGAUCUUAGACAAUGGGGGCAACCCUGAUCUAGCCAUGCCGCGUGAGUGAUGAAGGCCUUAGGGUUGUAAAGCUCUUUCAGCUGGGAAGAUAAUGACGGUACCAGCAGAAGAAGCCCCGGCUAACUCCGUG
rnacentral:rRNA from 1 species